AGUUGUUCCCGCGAUAUAUAUAUAUAUAUAUAUAGCAUGUCUCAAAAGAUGUAUACACAUUAUGGCACUGUGGCAAAUUGUCAGUCAUCUGGUAACCGCUGUCAACUAUGCCACGAAGCUAACGGUGGUCAUUUUGAACACCAACACUAGAUUCUCUAAUUCACUAAAUGAAAAUACUGACGCAUGUAAUAGUUUAGUUUAUUGAAAUACGUUUAUUUUAUCCAUUGAAUAUGUGUAUACAUCUUUUUGGGAUACUUUGUGUAGGACAUUAAUUACAUAGCGUUUUAAGAAGCUUACAAACAAAUAACCAACCCAAACCUCAGUAUAUUCUAUCAGGGUGUGUGUGGUAAGUCUAUUUCCAUUGUAAAUAGCUACGUGUCUGUCUGGAAAAGAAAUUAACAUUAUCUUCACAAUAUCAUUUUUCUUAUUAGCGUUAAAGACCUGUCCUGGUCUUAGUUUUACUCUAUUGCAAGAGUUUUAUCUGCACGUAUUGAGACAGGCUCUUGGCUUGAGCUUAUAUAGACCUACAAACAAGAAUUAAUAUCAUAUCUUCUAGAUGGAAUUCUUUUGUAUUUAUCACACAUCAUAAAAUUACAAGCCAAACCUGUAUUUCCUGCUCAUGCGCAUUGCCUCAUAGCUUCUUCCAUUUUUAGUACUAAGACAAAAACAACAGCCUUGUGUUCUGUAAAUAAACAUCAGGGUUCCUUCCAGUGCUUCUUGCAAGUCUGUAAUGUAACCUAACCUAAAGUUCUAUGCCACAGAGAACUUAAAUACGAAAUUUAUUUACACUGUACAGGCAACGCAGGUCAAUAUUAGAUUCUCAAGUUUUCUACACUGCAUGACCUCAGAUAUGAAAUACUUUACAGCCUUUUCUCCUAUAACGCGAUAGUUGCAUUCCUUAAAAACACCGCGUUAUACAAACAUCGAAAGAAUGCGCAGAGAAAACGUUUCCUGGUACCAUCACAGUAUUUUCCUGGGACUGAAGAACACUAGAAAUGUGGCAGGAGAGCUAGCUUUCGACCAAGGUGAUUGUGAGAUGCGCCAAGUGUAUAUACUUCUAAAUGACUUUUUUUAUUAGGAAACCCCGUGUCUCUUACGUGUAAUAUGUAUCCUGUCCACGUGACAAGAGAAGUUCACCUUGAUGUACAUGCAAAUUCGGACUGCAAUGGAAAAUCACAAGCCAUGCUGAUGCGCUAGAUUAAUACAGAACAUGCUUUACAGGAUAGUCCAUGGUGAAACGCAUCUCCCGCUAGCGGAUGGGACUGACCACGGAAGGCGGUGUCCGUCGAAACAUUUUGAUCUAACGUCUGGCGGAGCUCGCAGUCAAGUAAAUCUAAAGUUGGAGGAAGUAUGAGGUCGUCCGUUCCAGCACCCGCCUGUUACAAUCGAUAGCUGAGAUCCUCGACAUGCAACCGUACCGCCACAGGGAAGAAGGGCAAGAAUUGAUUAUUCUUCAUUUCACAUCAUUAAUGCAUAUACAGGUCUUUGAACUGUGACCCCUCCCCAUUAUAACCACUUCGUCCUUGUAGAGUGUGUUCAAAGUUUUCAGUCGACACAAUGUAGUUAUGUAUUUGAAUAGUGAGAAGCAUUCUGGCUCCAUCACCCGGGCGAUUGUUCUGAUAACCCAGAAGACAGUCAUCUUCAUUUCCGCAGCGGUGAAAACCUUAAAUCUCACUCAGAGUGUUUUGGUCACGUUUUAAUUUAACGAUGUGAAAAAAUGCAGAACGUUGUUGUGUUGGCAUCACGGUCUGCUAACAGAGCACUAGUGCGUUUUCAAACGGGGGCUAAUGUCCGCAGAAAAUGAUUAGCGUCGUGGAUGCGAUUCAACAAAUAGAAACUGUGAAUCGGUAGUUGAAACGAGCGUUGUGCCAAAUGGCAGAGGCCGCCUAUUCGAAAAAUGGUUGACGAGAAGCACAUUACGAAGAAUGAGCGGAGAUUUUAAUCCGGGACCUCCAGAAUACGAAACAGGAGAGCUAGCCACUCAACUACGAUGUUCGGUUGUUUUCGAUCUGUUCAGUCAAAAAGGAUAUCUUGACCUUCAUAACUCAGGAGAGUAGCUUUGAUCUUAGCAGUGCAGACCCACGCGGAAGUCUUGUGGGGAUAAAUCUGUGGCUACAAAUCGAUGUAUUCCAAACAGCUGCAGUUAGAGCCUUAUAUUUUUAACAAGGUCAGUGUUUUCGCCCCAAAAGUCCAUCCGCAAGGUCAAGGUCAAAGCUUUUCUCCUGAGAAACAAAUAAUAGGUCACUGUGCAGGCGCUCCGUCAUUGUCCCUUAACAUUCAACUCCGUAAUCAACUUUCACGUAACGCCAUUUUCGUAUCAUUCAGAAACAAACGGAAUGGGAGAUUAUGUAAUUCACUGUCUACCAAAAUGAUACCCAGGCUACAGACUGGAGGAGACAAUUCCGCUUCGGUGUGGAAAACGCAUUACAAAAAUAAUUUCCUGCGGUUAAACGCAAAGCAUGGCAGGAAGACGUUCUAACGAGAGCUGAAGGAAAAGUUCUUUCGAACCUGCAGAAGGAAACACAUAAUUGAAAGCUACAGGAAAUGUAUUAAUCUAAAGACAUCGGAAUUCGCAGACGCCAGCACCAAGAACGAAUUCGCCGUACAUCUAAGAUGAUUCUGACUUCUAAAUUACAAAUUUUACAGACGUCAUUUUUCUUAACAUUAAAAAAUUACCGCUUUCGGUAACAGUAAUUGUUCAUGUCAAACUCAAAAUGUAUACUUCUCUGUGUGUGUGUGGAUUAAACUGUAAAACUUAUUGGCAAAUUCAAGGUAACAAGCAAAUAGACUUGUAAGAUCUGAGAUUCUGGGUUUUGGCGUCAAGUAGACUACCAAAGUUUCGAAGAAACAUACUGUCUCCAUCUUUACGGCUGACGACUUUAUUUAGAGGUUCAAUACAGCAAGAUAUACAUAGCAGUUCUGGCUAACACCAGAUCUUACCAGACUACAACAGUUAUUUAACCACAAGGUCUCAUAUAUCAAAGUCAUUUAACUCCGAUGACUGAUAAUCUGCAGCAAAACAAUAAGUAAUUAAAUCCUACAGAUUCAUUCUUUAA